rnacentral:rRNA from 3 species
GUUGACCUCGGAUCAGGUAGGAAUACCCGCUGAACUUAAGCAUAUCAAUAAGCGGAGGAAAAGAAACCAACAGGGAUUGCCUCAGUAACGGCGAGUGAAGCGGCAACAGCUCAAAUUUGAAAUCUGGCCUUACGGUCCGAGUUGUAAUUUGUAGAGGAUGUUUUGGGUACCGCCGCGGUUUAAAUUUCUUGGAACAGAAUGUCAAAGAGGGUGAGAGUCCCGUCUUGGAUCGCGGUAGGGCCUGUGUAAAACUCCUUCGACGAGUCGACUUGUUUGGGAAUGCAGGUCAAAAUGGGUGGUAAAUUUCAUCUAAAGCUAAAUAUUGGCCAGAGACCGAUAGCGCACAAGUAGAGUGAUCGAAAGAUGAAAAGCACUUUGAAAAGAGAGUUAAACAGUAUGUGAAAUUGUUGAAAGGGAAGCGCUGGCAAUCAGACUCGUGCGCGGGGUUCCCCCUUGCUUCUGCUUGGGUCACUUCCCCGUGUCCGGGCCAUCAUCAGUUUCGGGGGCCGGUUAAAGGCCCUGGGAAUGUACCUACUCCUUCGGGGGUAGACUUAUAGCCCAGGGUGUCAUGCGGCCACCCGGGACUGAGGAACGCGCUUCGGCGAGGAUGAUGGCGUAAUGGUUGUCAGCGACCCGUCUUGAAACACGGACCAAGGAGUCUAACAUCUAUGCGAGUGUUCGGGUGUCAAACCCUUGCGCGGAAUGAAAGUGAACGGAGGUAGGAAGGCUUACGCCUGCACUAUCGACCGAUCCUGAUGUCUUCGGAUGGAUUUGAGUAAGAGCAUAGCUGUUGGGACCCGAAAGAUGGUGAACUAUGCGUGAAUAGGGUGAAGCCAGAGGAAACUCUGGUGGAGGCUCGCAGCGGUUCUGACGUGCAAAUCGAUCGUCAAAUUUGCGUAUAGGGGCGAAAGACUAAUCGAACCAUCUGGUAGCUGGUUCCUGCCG